rnacentral:rRNA from 1 species
UACGUAGGUGGCAAGCGUUGUCCGGAUUUACUGGGCGUAAAGAGCGCGCAGGCGGUCGUUCAAGUCGCGUGUGAAAGCCCCCGGCUCAACUGGGGAGGGUCACGCGAUACUGAUCGACUCGAAGGCAGGAGAGGGUAGUGGAAUUCCCGGUGUAGUGGUGAAAUGCGUAGAUAUCGGGAGGAACACCGGUGGCGAAGGCGGCCAUCUGGACGGAUACUGACGCUGAGACGCGAAAGCGUGGGGAGCAAACAGG